rnacentral:tRNA from 1 species
GACCCCGUAGUCUAACUGGCAGGAUGCUAGGCUGUUAACCUUGUGGUGGAGGUUCGAGCCCUCCCGGGGUCG